AUGGCUCAGAUAUACAGAGCACUGGUUGCUAGUCCAGAGGUCCUGGGUUCAAUUCCCAGU
rnacentral:tRNA from 1 species